GACGAACGCUGGCGGCGUGCUUAACACAUGCAAGUCGAACGGAAAGGCCCUGCUUUUGUGGGGUGCUCGAGUGGCGAACGGGUGAGUAACACGUGAGUAACCUGCCCUUGACUUUGGGAUAACUUCAGGAAACUGGGGCUAAUACCGGAUAGGAGCUCCUGCUGCAUGGUGGGGGUUGGAAAGUUUCGGCGGUUGUGGAUGGACUCGCGGCUUAUCAGCCUGUUGGUGGGGUAGUGGCUUACCAAGGCUUUGACGGGUAGCCGGCCUGAGAGGGUUACCGGCCACAUUGGGACUGAGAUACGGCCCAGACUCCUACGGGAGGCAGCAGUGGGGAAUAUUGCACAAUGGGCGGAAGCCUGAUGCAGCAACGCCGCGUGCGGGAUGACGGCCUUCGGGUUGUAAACCGCUUUCGCCUGUGACGAAGCGUGAGUGACGGUAAUGGGUAAAGAAGCACCGGCUAACUACGUG
rnacentral:rRNA from 1 species